rnacentral:tRNA from 1 species
GCCUUCUUAGGUUAGCUGGUAGAGCGCAUGGCUUUUAACCAUAUGGUCGUGGGAUUGAUUCUCACAGAUGGCG